GUCUUUAUGGUGUAAAUGGAAGCACGUUAGGCUAGCAAUCGGAAUGUCUGGGUUCGAAUCGUAGUGAAGACA
rnacentral:tRNA from 1 species